GCCCGGGAUCCCACGCAAAGCACAUGGGGCCUACAUGCGGCCGAGCCAGGGAGAGACGGCCGCUCUUCUGGAUGGUAAAACCGCACACACACCCCUCAGUGCACCAGCCUUCCUCCCCCCCCCCCUGGGCCGGCGGGGGUCAUCCCGGCCCGCACUCGACAUCCACAAUCACCAGCAGAGACAGCAGUACAAGCCUGACCCUGACAAGCAAGGCUACAACCUCCUACAAGGCGCACCUAAAAUGGCGGCCGGCAGCGGGAUAUGCAGGAUGGCCAUGCGACCGACACAACCGCGCUGGAGAGACCCACUGCAGAGCUUAGAGGUGAUACUGACCCACUUCUGGGAUAUCCACACACAGCGGCAACAACCAACAGGGGAAGGGACCUCGCAGCGCCCUGGACCCACAUGCCAAUCCCUCAGAGCCGGCGUCGGCUGACCAAGACGGCAUGACCUAGAGACAGUCUGUGCCCCUGCAGCAGAGACUCUGCACGAUCCCACCGCACAGUAUGUCUCACACUGAGCUCAGAACUGGCCCUAACAUCUCACAGCAGAGACUGUAAGAUACAUAUAGCAGCAGUGGAGCAAGCAACACAAUAUAAUAACCACAGGCAAUUAGCUUGUUAACCAAAGAUCAUUUAGCCGCUGUUUAUCCUUUGCACCUGUGUUCUAAUGCAUGUCAGUAUCUACCUUUAAAAAUGUGCAGAUUCCACUAACUGCUUUUGAAUGUUACCAUUGUUUUUAUGCAGGGCACCUUUAUGCUCAGAGUGAAUAGAAACAGGGUUACACAAUGAAGGCUAACUCUAGCAAUGUUAACUGCUGUAUGUUGUGUCUAAGCUUAAAUACACACAGUUUAACUUUUUAAUGUAGUUUUACAUCAAGUUACCGCUAACUGCAACCGUGCUUAUACAAUAUGACUACGAAUUUAACCUGAAUCCACUCUCUAAGCACUUGACUACUCCAAUCUCUAGAACCACUGUAUGUUUACUGUCUCAAGCUUGAAACCCCAUCGUGACCCACCGCAACAGUCAUACAAAGCUAGCCUGUAUAUAGCAUGUUUAAAACCUUUAAAGUGUCCCCAGUCUGUUAUUUUUCUCAUUACAAAAGACGACGCAACUGUUUAACCAAACUUGUUAAAAAUUUUAAAAAUGUGCAGUCUCUCAUGCCACUGUUAUA